CUAGUACUCCCUCCGUCCCAAAAUUCUUGUCUUACAUUUGUCUAGAUACAGAUGUAUCCUAAAAUUCUUGUCUUACAUUUGUCUAGAUACGGAUGUAUCGGUACAUCUGUAUCUAAACAAAUAUAAGACAAGAAUUUUGGGACGGAGGGAGUAUAAU
rfam:Triticum aestivum genome assembly, contig: Triticum_aestivum_CS42_TGACv1_scaffold_220813_3B